GUGUAAAGCCAUAUCACCCUGAACAUACCCAAGCUGAUGUGGCUUGGAAGCUAAGCGGGGUUGGGCAGUCAGAACAUGGGUGGAGAAACAGAAAAGGCAAAAACCAGGCUCUGUGAUACACG
rnacentral:rRNA from 1 species